AUUCCGCUGACGAGUUCGAAAUAAGACGAAAUGCAUGUCCUGGAU
rnacentral:hammerhead_ribozyme from 1 species